AUUGAACGCUGGCGGCAGGCCUAACACAUGCAAGUCGAACGAGUGGCGGACGGGUGAGUAAUGUCUGGGAAACUGCCUGAUGGAGGGGGAUACCUACUGGAACCGGUAGCUAAUACCGCAUACCAUCAGAUGUGCGCAGAUGGGAUUAGCUUGUUGGUGGGGUAACGGCUCACCAAGGGGACGAUCCCUAGCUGGUCUGGGAGGGUGACCAGCCAACCCGGAACUGGGACACGGUCCAGAAUCCUACGGGGGGCAUGAGUGGGGAAAAUUGCACAAUGGGCGCAAGCCUGAUGCGACCAUGCCGCGUGUAGGAAGAAGGCCUUCGGGUUGUAAAGUACGUUCAGCGGGGAGGCGUUACCCGCAGAAGAAGCACCGGCUAACUCCGUGCCAGCCGCCGCGGUAAUUC
rnacentral:rRNA from 1 species